ACUUUCACUAUUGUGUUUAUUUUUGUUUAACUUUUAUUUUUGCCUUUAUUAUUACUUUAUUCAUAAUUGAAAGACAAUUUCUAUUGAAGAGACUUAAAAUGCAUAAAUCAUUAUUUAUUUUCGUUUUAGUUGCUUUCAUUCCUUUGUGCUUCACUAAGCAUCAUAAGUUCGAACAUCGUGAAGUGCACAAAUUUCCACAUCAUGUUAUUGAUGUAAGUCCUGUCAAUGUUGCUAUUAAGUCAAACCAUGAAGAAUCAGAUUUAUCGAAUAAUCAAUCGGAUGAUUUAUCGGAUGAUUUAUCGGAUUACCAAGACAUAGACAGCGACCAAUAUGACGAACAAAUUAUCUGUCCGUUUGGCAUUUUCAACUUUUUGAUUCCCUUCUGUUAAGCAACGUGGAAAAUGUAUUUUUCUUGGCUAUAAUUUUGAAGGUAAGUCUCCUGUAAUAAUAUUUCACUUCUAAUUUCUAAACAACAUUUUGAUGGCUGUUUCAUGUUUCAGCAAUAUUGUAAUCCCAAGGCUUAUUAAAACUGUGAUAAUUUUUAUUGAUACAAAAUUAAAAGUUAUGACAUUAAA